CCGAUUGAAUAAUGUAAAAAGCCUGAAAAGCCUACGGUGGACAUUGUCAUUACCUGAAGAUAGCUGACUGAAUACUGUGACAUCUCUUGGAACAUCAAACCGUGGGUGCAUGCUUUUGUGAAAUCUCGUGGAAAUUUACUAGGUGUACUGUACUCAGUUUUUGCUAGCUCUCCCCAGAUUUACAAUGAGUCUGCUGUGGGUGGCUCACAGAUCUUGUGUUCGGCUGCUCACUUGACUGAAUACUUGCGCUGCUGCUGCUUUCUACCCAAUACCCAUGAAUGAUUGCUGCUUGGCUACUUGUUGUUCCCAGCCAAUUAGCAAUUUCAGAAUUAAAUUAAUUGGGCAUGCAAUUGAUUUAGCGAAAUCAAUGUUGUAUGUGUCUUUCUAGAUCGUCUAGUGACAAUAAUCUGGGACGAAUUCGGUCUAGCAUAGCACAUAUAUUUCAGGAAAGUAAGUAUCAUAGAUUCAGCGUAGCCUAGCACAUAUCUUUCAAGUAGGCAAGUAUCACAGAUUCAGGCCAGCCCAUGCAUACCUAUCAGAAAGUUUGUAUCAUUACUUUGAGUUCUGUUGAUGAGUUUACUCUUCUACUUGAUAUACUUAUGCGCUCAUGUCAUUCCAUGAAUUAAUGCAGAGGCAAUGUUGGAGAAGAUGGCGUCCUGGAUUGGAUAGCAGAGAUUGUGUAGAGCACUAUGGAUAUCUACUUUACUGACAGGGAAUUAGGCAUAAUACAUAGUGCUUUUCCUGGUAAGGGUUCUGCAGGCCGUACAACAGUAGAUGUACGAUCAUUUUGGUGUAGCAUAUCCCAAUUAUCACUAUGAAAAUACAGCAGAAGCUUGUAUGUUCAUUUCCAUUUUAAUUCUUAUAUUUCUUGUACCUCAAUCUCAUCUGCUAGUUUGAUAUAAUCCAAUGGGUGAUAGCAUCACCGUUUACCAAGUACCCAUCCUGGUUACUUUGUUAUUUAGGUCAAUGUAAGAUACCAUGAAUUUUUACCAAGUACCUGUCCUUACAUUAUGUGCAAAAUAGGUUAUACAUUAAAUUCUAAAUCUGUUGAAUAUUUGGUUAUACUGCAUGCUUAUAGUUUGUAGCUUGUGGUUGUACAUCUAUUUCUGUCUCAUGUUAUUUAUCAUUCUACUCUUACAGAAUGUUUGCGGGGAGCUCAGUUAGUGUCGAUGCCUCAAGGGUUUAUGAAUAACAGUUCCAUGUUGCUUAAAGGCAUUGUAAUGCUGGCUACUAGUUUCCAGGUAUAUGUUUAUGUAGUCAUAUGGACGCGCUCAUUGAUAAUUCCUAUAGAAUGUUUAUAUUCUUUAUAACUUUGCCAUGGAUGAACCUAUUCUGGAUAAUGACGAGUUAGCAAGGGAAGUUUCUGAUUGUAGAGAAUUGGUGACGCGUUUGCUUCAGGAUACUUAAUUAUAUGGCCUUGAGCUUUUGUAAGUUAAAGUAUUUUAUCUUUCAUAUUUCGAAUUUAUAUUUGUAUACAUUCAAUCACAUAUCUGUAAGGUUCAAUUUUCUUUUACAGAUUCAAAAGAAGGAUCAUUGAGUUGCAGCUGAAUUCUUCGGUUGGAUCAAGCAGCGAAGAAGAUUUUACUUAGCAAUACCUGUAGUUUACAUUGACAGAUUGAAAAAUGUAAUAUCAUUCACAAGAUUUUUUUCUUUGGUCGAAUUGAUGCAACUGCUAUGGUGUAAUAUUCUCCAUAGUUGUGUUGUCUAUAGUCAAAUUGAUAUGAAUGAUAUUAUGUUGCACCAAUAAUAUUGGUAUUUGUUUAUUGUAAUGCAUAUGUAUCCUACACUCUUCUAUAUAAUAAAUAUAUUGAUA
rnacentral:lncRNA from 1 species